CGCAGUGUUUGCCAUGUGUGCUGGAGGUGGCGUUGGAGGCGGUGAAAAAGAUUACCUUUGCCCAAAUUUUAUGCAAAUCACCAGCUGCGACUGCUGGGCGAUGACUAAUGGUAUCGAGUGGUUUCCAUGACGAAUUUGACACUAUGCGACCCAAGGCUGGAGACUUUCUUCAGCCAAGAUGGCUGACAAAAAUACUAUGAUGGAAGCAUAUAUUCACCUGGAAUGCUUUUCCGGCCAUCUUGAAGGAGUUCCCACAUAUGCUGAGCACUUGUUGGCUGCUUUUCCUUCACUCUGCAUUCCAACUCAUCCCAAACCAUCUCAAUUGAGUUGAUGUCAGGUGAUUGUGGAGGCCAUGUCAUCUGAUGCAGCACUCCAUCACUCUCCUUUUUGGUCAAAUAGCCCUUACACAGCCUGGAGGUGUGUUGGUUCAUUAUCCUGUUGAAAAACAAAUGUUAGUUCCACUAAACACAAACCAGAUGGGAUGGCGUAUCGCUGCCGAAUGCUGUGGUAGCCAUGCUGGUUAAGUGUGCCUUGAAUUCUAAAUAAAUCACUGACAGUGUCACCUGCAAAACACCCCCACACAUCACACCUCCUCCUCCAUGCUUCACGGUGGGAACCACACAUGCAGAGAUCAUCCGUUCACCUACUGUGCAUCUCACAAAGACAUGGCGGUUGGAACCAAAAAUCUCAAAUUUGCAGAUUUCCACUGUUCUAAUGUCCAUUGCUCAUGUUUCUUAGCCCAAGCAAGUAUCUUCUUAUUAUUAGUGUCAUGUAGUAGUGGUUAAUUUGCAGCAAUUCGACCAUGAAGGCCUGAUUCACACAGUCUCCUCUAAAAAGUGAUGUUGAUGUGUCUGUUACUUGAACUCUAAAGCAUUUAUUUGGGCUGCAAUUUCUGAGGCUGGUAACUCUAAUGAACUUAUCCUCUGCAGCAAAGGUAACUCUGGGUCUUCCUUUCCUGUGGCGGUCCUCAUGAGAGACAGUUUCAUCAUAGCGAUUGAUGGUUUUUGCGACUGCACUUUAAGUUUUCUGGAUUGACUGACCUUCAUGUCUUAAAGCAAUGAUGUACUGUCAUUUCUCUUUGCUUAUUUGAGCGGUUCUUGCCAUAAAUGGACUUGGUCUUUUACCAAAUAGGGCUAUCUUCUGUAUACCACCCCUACCUUUUCACAACCCAUCUGAUUGCUCAAAAGCAUUAAGAAGGAAAGAAAUUCCCCAAAUUAACUUUUAACAAGGCAUACUUGUUAAUUUUAAUGCAUUCCAGAUGACUACCUCAUGAAGCUGGUUGAGAGAAUGCCAAGAGUGUGCAAAGCUGUCAGGCAAAGGGUGGCUACUUUGAAGAAUCGGAAAUAUAAAAUGUAUUUUGAUUUGUUUAACAUUUUUUUGGUUACUACAUGAUUCCAUAUGUGUUAUUUCAUAGUUUAUGUUUUCACUAUUAUUCUACAAUGUAGAAAAUAGUAAAAAUAAAGAAAAACCCUUGCAUGA